rnacentral:rRNA from 1 species
CCUACGGGUGGCAGCAGUGAGGAAUAUUGGUCAAUGGGCUUACGCCUGAACCAGCCAAGUCGCGUGAGGGAAGACUGCCCUAUGGGUUGUAAACCUCUUUUGUCAGGGAGCAACGCCGGCUACGUGUAGCCGGACUGAGAGUACCUGAAGAAAAAGCAUCGGCUAACUCCGUGCCAGCAGCCGCGGUAAUACGGAGGGUGCGAGCGUUAAUCGGAAUUACUGGGCGUAAAGCGCUCGUAGGCGGUAUGUCAAGUCAAGGGUGAAAUCCCCGCGCUCAACGUGGGAACUGCCUUUGAAACUGGCAAACUGGAGUGUGUGAGAGGAUAGUGGAAUUCCAGGUGUAGGAGUGAAAUCCGUAGAUAUCUGGAGGAACAUCAGUGGCGAAGGCGACUAUCUGGCACAUAACUGACGCUGAGGAGCGAAAGCGUGGGUAGCAAACAGGAUUAGAUACCCCUGUAGUC